UACGGAGGGGGCUAGCGUUGUUCGGAAUUACUGGGCGUAAAGCGCACGUAGGCGGCUUUGUAAGUUAGAGGUGAAAGCCCGGGGCUCAACUCCGGAAAUUGCCUUUAAGACUGCAUCGCUAGAACGUCGGAGAGGUAAGUGGAAUUCCGAGUGUAGAGGUGAAAUUCGUAGAUAUUCGGAAAGAACACCAGUGGCGAAGGCGACUUACUGGACGACU
rnacentral:rRNA from 1 species